GAAGUCUUGAAUGUGCGCGAGUCAAAGGGCUGUCUAAACCCCAAGGCGAAACGAAAGUAAGAAAGAAAGGCAGGUUCUCUCUCUUUCAUUGGGCUGAUCCGGUUCGGGGUGUGCUAGCUGGGGUUAGCGGGGUCGUUCGUCGCCGUCUGCUCGAUAUCCCUUUCGGGGGAAGUCGAAGGCGGAUGUUCGGCUUCUCCGCGCCUCAUCCUAUCCCCUCGAUUCGUCACCUCAAUAUGUGAACGGCGCAAGCCCGGGGCCCGCAUUACGUUCCUCUCGGCCGCUACAUCUGCGGCGAUUGUCUGGUUGCCGCUGUUUUUGCUCGUUCCCUUCUUCGCUCUUCAUCCCGUACACGCUCGUUUAUCGUCGGAUCGGUACGCGAAGGCUUAAGUGUUCUUCGCGUGCCCCUCCGUCGGUACGGGUGCUAAAAGGAUGUUGUUGCCGUUGUUAGGGGUCAGCAUCUUCGAAGCGCGUAACACGGCGUCGACCCCGAUUGGCCGAGAACGAACGGCGGGUUCUCUGAGCGCACAUUCUAGGACCCGAAAGAUGGUGAUCUAUGCGUGGCGAGGAUGAAGCCAGGGGAAACCCUGGUGGAGGUCCGUAGCGAUUCUGACGUGCAAAUCGAUCGUCGGAGCUGCGCAUAGGGGCGAAAGA
rnacentral:rRNA from 1 species